ACCAAGGCAGAGGAUGUAAAGACACAACCAUAAGCCAAGGAACAGCAAGGAUGUUGUCAACCACUAAAAGCUAGGAAGAGGCCAAAAGAGAUUUUCCCCUAGAACCUUCAGAGAAAGAAUAGCACUUCUAAGACCUCAAUUUUGGAACUGUAGGCUAUAGAACUCUAAGGAAUUAAGUUUUUGUUGUUGUAAAACAACCAGUUGGUGAGACUUUGUCAUGGCAACUCCAGGAAUCUAAAACACCUUGCUCUUUGAGGAUGACUUUCGACUGUGUGGUUUCCAGGUUUGUGAGUCAAACUAGUCUUGGCAGCGCAGGUCUUCACCACACUCACCUCAGGCCCCGCCCCUUUAUUCCACCAGUAUGAACUUAAUACUUCAUGACUGAGGUUAACCUAGGAAGUUGGAAUGAGGAGGCUAAAAGAGGACUGAAUCAGAAGAGUUGUUCAAUGACUUACAUAUCAAAGACUUCUGCAGAAUGCAACUCACGUUGGCUCUUCUCUCUUAUAAGACAUCAAAUUCAAGGAGGGUAAGAAGUACUGUUUAUCUGCUCUUGAAUGCUAAUAGCCAAGAAAUAAAUGAAUAAGUCACAAAACACUGGAAACAAAAUUCCUCGGGAAAAGCUUGUCUUUGUGUGCCAACUUGGCCUCUUUGAGAUGUGAAAUUACAGUGUGUUGUCAUGUCACACACACAAAAUGUCAUGUAAUUUGGCAGAGUCUGCCUUUCAGGAAGCUAAGAAUCACAGUGAUGCUCGGAACAGCUGUACCAGCCCAUGAGAUUAGUAGAUUUGCUUCCACCUCUUUCCACAGAUCCCAUUUCCAAUCCCUGGGUUUAUAUUA